UUUAGCAGGCCAGAGUAUAGACCCCCUUGAGCCUUUCAGGGCUGGAAACACCACUAAUCUCUUGCUUGUAACUGGUACUGCUAUCUCCUUAGCACAGUGUACCUUGUGGAAUACCUGGUGAUAUUCACCUAGGGCUGUUUCUUGACCUUGCUUCUGGCUCACGUUUUGGCCUGUAUGCAGUCCCUGUGAUUGCCCUUGGUUUCUUUGGAGUGUGCUACUCCAGGAGCCCUGACUUUGCUGAUGCUUCUUCCUCAGGAGCAGGCGGAAGAUGCGGGCACAGCGCGACCCAAAUCUAGAUCAAGGAAGUGACAAAACACUUCACAACAGCUUGCAACUCAUGAAGUUACUGGUGAAGUGUGUUUGCACUCUGCUGAAUGAUUGGACAGAUAGUAUUUUGUUGGCACCUUAACAGAUGGAUGAUGCUCAAGAUGGACUAGCAGUUUUUGCAAGAAAUUUAAACAUGUCUCUGCCUAGGAGGCUCAUAGUCUAAAGUGACUUGUAAUCUAAACUGAUUAGAAAUUUAUGGGAGGGAAGAAAUUACACGGCACAGAUAUGGGUAAUAGCAGGAAGAUUCCUCCAAGCAUAUCAAGAAGGCAAAGAGAAAGAAAUUGAGAGGAGCAAAACAUCUGAGACUUGAGAACAGGAAGAUCAAAGCAUACCAGCUGAAACAAUGAGAGACCAGCAAUCUCAGAUACAAAGAAGGAUGCAAUAAUGUCUUGAUUACAUCCUGCUGGUGAGAGGAAAUAGCACUAUGCUUUCACCACAGUGGCUGAUGUCUUGUCUGCAGCAGGUACAAGUAGCAGGCAACACGCAUGGCCGUGUACUAUAUUUCUGGCAAACCUGGGCAUGUGUGCGCGAGAAAGAACUCAGCAAAUACAUUAAGCCAAUGAGGUCUGAUAUCCCUGCUACUUGAUUCAAAGCACGUUUGCAACUUCUGCAUCUCGGAGCCAGGCAAGUGUCACUUUACCUUUCCUGAACGAUUGAUUCCAGCGUUGCAGUGGCCAGAGACGCCAGGGCCUUAUGAAGGUCUGUUUGAGGGAAGGCUAAGGAGAAAUGUAGGAAACAAUGGGAUUUUGGUAGCAACUCAGUGGUUUGUGCAUUCCCAUGGAGCCUACCAGCUCCUUGCCUCCUCCUCGUGUACUGACUGGUGAACUUUGAAGGUGCCUUCUGGGCUCUCCAAUUCUGUGAGGGCACAUCGAGGCCAUUUGCUAACCUGCCCUCAAGUAAAAAGAUGCAAAUGGAUUGACAGUGUGGUUUUUAAGGCCGGGUUUGUGCACAGUUGUGCCAGCGGAACCCAACUUUGGCCCAGUCAGGUGCCUUGUUGCUUGGGGCAAGUUGAACUGCUUCCAGGUGACCCCUCAAGAAAGCAUUUGUCACACUCAUGGAACUGGGGAUUCUGCCAUUAGCUUUCAACUUUCAGAUUCAGGACCCCACCUUCAAUUACAGCCUGCAAUGUUGAGGCCAGUUUUAUUUUUUUAACCCUAUGCAGCCACCCCUGCUUUUCUCUCUAGGCUGACCAUAGCAAUGUAAGGAUAAGACCAAGGAGCUAUCUGGUCUAGCAACAAGCUUCCUGCCGUGGCCAGCCAAGGCCUCUGGGAAACACAUGGGCUGUGCAUGUUCAGUUGCUGCAUCUGGUGUUGAGGUACACUGCCUCUGAAUGUGGAAGCUCUAUUUUGCAGUAGCUUCUUCUACGAAUGUACCUAAUUCCCUUUUUAAAAGCCCUCAAAGCUAGUGGCCAUCACAUGAUCUGGCAGUCUGCUCUAUGGAUUUAAUAAUGUCUAAUGUGAAGAAGUAACAACAACCAAAGGAAUGAGAGGACAGCGCUUUUAUAACUUUAGAAGCUGCAUAAAAGAGAGAAUUUUGGCAGAUGCAACUUCUCUUGCAAGGGGUGAGAAAAUCUGCACCUGCUGAAAUUCCCCCAGAAGAGAUCACAAUGUUCAAAGAUACAGAAGGGUCAGCCUGUUUUGUCCCCGGCCACCUUUUCUCCGUUUCUCUCUUGGCAGAAAAGACACAACCCAUCCUAUAGUAACAGAGUGAGAAGUUGCGAGGCCUUCUCUUUAUUCUUUCCUUGCCACAGAUGGCACUGGCUGCUCUAGGGUCUAGCCCACCACAGGCCCCUUAAGAUUCCUCAGUCCCUCUUCAAGAGAUGUAACAGAAAUGGCCCGCUUUAAAUGGGGGGGGGAGAACAGGCUGGCUACAGAGGGUGCAAGGUUUAGCUGCUCUUCUCCCGGGG